rnacentral:rRNA from 1 species
UACGUAGGGUGCAAGCGUUGUCCGGAAUUAUUGGGCGUAAAGAGCUCGUAGGCGGUUUGUCGCGUCUGCUGUGAAAACCCGAGGCUCAACCUCGGGCCUGCAGUGGGUACGGGCAGACUAGAGUGCGGUAGGGGAGAUUGGAAUUCCUGGUGUAGCGGUGGAAUGCGCAGAUAUCAGGAGGAACACCAAUGGCGAAGGCAGCUCGCUGGGACGGUACUGACGCUGGAGGCGCGAAAGCGUGGGGAGCAAACAGG